GCAUGGCGGGCGUGCUAAUACAUGCAAGUCGAGCGGAACGGUGGGGAGCUUGCUCCCGGCCGUUUAGCGGCGGACGGGUGAGUAACACGUGGGCAACCUGCCCUGCAGAUCGGGAUAACUCCGGGAAACCGGCGCUAAUACCGGAUAGGUCGGAACCUCGCAUGAGGUUCCGCGGAAAGACGGUUUCGGCUGUCACUGCAGGAUGGGCCCGCGGCGCAUUAGCUAGUUGGUGGGGUAGUGGCCCACCAAGGCGACGAUGCGUAGCCGACCUGAGAGGGUGAUCGGCCACACUGGGACUGAGACACGGCCCAGACUCCUACGGGAGGCAGCAGUAGGGAAUCUUCCGCAAUGGACGCAAGUCUGACGGAGCAACGCCGCGUGAGUGAAGAAGGUUUUCGGAUCGUAAAACUCUGUUGUGAGGGAAGAACAAGUGCCACCUAACUAGUGGCACCUUGACGGUACCUCACCAGAAAGCCACGGCUAACUACGUGCCAGCAGCCGCGGUAAUACGUAGGUGGCAAGCGUUGUCCGGAAUUAUUGGGCGUAAAGCGCGCGCAGGCGGUCUUUUAAGUCUGAUGUGAAAGCCCACGGCUCAACCGUGGA
rnacentral:rRNA from 1 species